rnacentral:lncRNA from 1 species
GAAGGCCUGGUGGGCUGCUGGGCUAGGCUGUGCAGUAUGGAAGGAAGGCAGAAAAGGAGGUGGUAAUAUUCAAAGGUAGUUUGAAUAAAUCCUUCGACUUAGAAGAAGAAGGAUUUGGAGAUUCUAUAUCUGGGAUUUAGAAGAGAGGUGAUUAAGGAACAACCAAGUGCAACACAUAUGUGGAGCUAUGGAUGUUUGUUAGGAUGGUUUGAUAGUGGAGCUAAAAAACUUUGAGCGGAGCAAUCCCAUAGAGGCUCUAAGAGCAUCUCCAAGAGAGGUCUAAAAUCAAUUCCAAAACUAAAUUUUAGGAAUAAACGAGAUAAAACACCCUCCAACAAAGGCCCAAAGAGGUUUCCAAUUAUUCGUGCUUCCCCAAACCUGCCGUAAAUCGAGCUAGAAAAAGGGAGCUUCUCCGCACUCCCAAUUCGCGUUCCCGCGCAUACCCCACGAUGCCGCCAUUUUUUCCCGCCGUCCGUGCGCACAUAUCCCCUAGUUGCCGCCAUUUUUCCCGCCUGUCUUGCGUCCCCGCGCAUAUCCCCUCGCUACCGUCGUCCACCCUGUGCUCUCAACGGCGAGGGCGGCGGCACGCGACACGCGGUCUGUGUGUUCGACGUGAAUACCAAGAACUGGGCCUUGGUGCGCCUGCCGCCAGAGUUCACCGGCUUCGUCUUCUCCAUCAUGUCCGUCCGCAUAUGAACAUCGACGUGAAGACCAAGAACUAGACCGUGGUGCGCCCGCCACUGGAGUUUGCCGUCUUCAUUUUCUCUGUCACGUCCGUCCGCAUCUGAACAUCUGGAUCUCGC